AGGACACUGGCUGGACCUUAUUUUCCCAUGAGUCUGCUGCAGCUUAGAAGUCCUGGGACAUUUGACAAAGGCCUGCAGAAGAUUUAAAGAAACUUCCUGCUCUUUUCUCUUAAGCUAACUAUGACUUGGAGAAAUUUGGUAAAUUAUACCUCUAUACACCUCUUGUUAAACACCUGAUUGCUUGGGUAAUGUAGCCGAACUCUAUCACUGCCUCCUGAAAUGAACUGAACUGACCUACUCUCAAGACUAGGAAAGGG